ensembl:lncRNA
GCACACCAUCCUAUAUAACUACUGUCUAUACACAACACCCUAUAUAACUACUGUCUAUACACACCAUCCUAUAUAACUACUGUCUAUAAACACCACCCUAUAUAACUACUGUCUAUACACACCAUCCUAUAUAACUACUGUCUAUACACCAUCCUAUAUAACUACUGUCUAUACACACCCGCCUAGAUACUACGGGCUAGACUGUAUAUACACACCCAGUCUAUAUAACU